UUAAUUCUCAAUUGUCAAUAAUAAACAUAUAAGCUCUCUACUUAAUACCUAGGUUACAUAGGUAUUUUUUUUAUAGUCUAGUAACUAAUCCUACAACCACUAGGAUUAGGAAUUCCAAAAUGGGAAAACACUAGUCCAAUUCUAACUAGGAAUAUACUAAACCUUAUAUAACUUUUUAAAUAUUCCUAAAUAAUAUAAAUCUAAACUUCCUAACUAUAAUAGAAUGAAAGAUCUAAUUCACAGUUAAAAAUUAAAUCAAAAUAGUCCUAAAUCUCACAACAGGAGGUGAGGUGGGAAAGAAAGAGAAGCAGAAAAAUUGACCACUAUCACAAUCAAAUUUGAGUCAAAAGUUGCUAAUAGAAAUUGAAAUAAGUUAGCCAGUAAUAGAAUGAAUUGCAUUUAUCAGAUUUUCCACAGGUUAAAUAGGAUACUGCAAAGGAAGACCACUUUCACAUGACUGUUGACAAUAAUCCUUGGCACCAAUAUUGCCACAUCAAGGAUACAUCUCCCGACUGGAAAGCACUUCUCUCUCAUCCGUGAGCUCCAGAUGUCUGAAUGAGUCCCUGAGCCAGAUGUUUGACCUGAUUGAUUUAGGAGUGGCUCCCAAGUUCUACCUCUAACAUUCUCAUAAUCAUCCUCAUAUUCUGAAUCUGUUGUGCGAGUAGAAAGCAGAGCUCGCAGAAUUAUCGCAAGCAGUAGAGCUAGUGCCUGUAUUACAAUCACUGUAAUGCCAACCCAUUUACAUAUAUCAACAUUUUCUUCAACAAAAGAGCGAAGGCUUUGAAGUUCUCCAGUUGGAUCAAAAGGAAGAUCCUUCUGCCAGUGAUGAUCAAUUGCAAUGAACGCCACCAAAGCUGCUUCUAGAAGAAUUAGUACAGUCUUGAGUAUGGUGUACUAAUAUUUACAACAUUAAGGAACAAGACACUAUGAAAGAAACUGAAUGCUGACCACAAAUUCUGGACAAUUCAGUACUAGAAAUUUUCAUUAUCUAUUUUUUUUCUUACUGGAAAAUAUGAUUAAAAAAAGGGAUAGAACAGAUUAAGUUACUUUCUUUUGAGCUGGUGAAGCAGUUGCGGCUCAUGUAGUUUAAUUCUUCUUUGAUGGGAUAUUUAUACAGAAGCAACAAGACUAAAGGUGGAAAGUAGGUACAGCUCAAGAUAUAGCAACAAGCCAACAACAACAACAACAAGGUACAAGAUAUAGAACAGUAAUAUAAUUCCUUAAUUCUAGGAUAAUCAUGCACAGUGACCGAUUGACCUGGUUUGGUACCAAUUUUCAUUAUAGAAUGAUUCUUUUGAGUUGGCAAGGCACCCUGAAGUUCAUCAAGUCCUUCAGGGGGAGAGGGAGAACGUGAAUUUACAUUUCCAAUGUGCAAAAAACAUUAAAUAACAUCUUUACAUGUCAAACAACAUUAACUAGCUAAUCAAGAAUAGCUGCACGUUAAUUUCUUAUCCAAAGUAAGCCCAACAAAUGGAGAUAGAAGCUCAUCUAUGCAGGAUACAAAGCACAGGCAACAGCCAUUAACAGAUUCAGCUGCAAUGCACCCGAUGAGAGUAAUUGUACACAAUAUAAUGCCCACACCCAUAAAAGAGUAGAUGAACCUGCCACCCAAAGCAAAGUCGAAAUCAAAACUCGUGCUCCAAUUUCACACGACCUGUGUAGCCACAAUGACCACAAAAGCCAACAUCACGUCAAACAUUAAAGAAGGAACUGAAAACUUAAUUUCCAUCGAAACAUGCACGAGCCAAAACUGAAUUGCAAUAUGAUAACUCAUACGGACCCCUUCAAUCUUCGCAUCGAACAAAAUUACUCAUGAUUCACUCGCAUAAAAACAAGUAAACCCAAUAUACGGCUAAAGCAAAUUUACUAAUAAUACUUUCAGCAGCAAACCAUCAAAACACAAUUACCGUGAAAAAAAAAAUGAAAGCAUUAAAAUCCCGUGAAUUCAAUAACUAGCCAGCCAAAGCUAUAUUAAAAAUCAAUUCAAAUUGUCCAAAUUUAAUCGAAAAUAAAACAUUUAAAGCUAAUAUCAGCUCAUUUAAUAACCUUUUUCUAAUUUGAUGUAAGUCGGUUCAAGACACAUCUCAAAACCAUUAUCCAAACCAAUAAAUUCCCAAAAAACUCUGAUAAAAACAAAAAACACUGUAACCCCAUUUCAAGACCCAAUAAAAUAAAUAAAUAAAAUACCAUCUCCCACUAUCUUCAAAUAAAUUAUACAAUUACAAGUUUAAAACUAACUAUCCAUCAUCCUAAUUACACUUAAGAGAAUCUCACUACAUAACUAUUUAUAAUAAAUAAUUAGUUCCUCUUAGUCUUCCAACUCAAUAUAUUUAUUAAUUUAACUAUUUUAUACUGCAUAAAGGGUGUCUUUAACUAUAUAGGCAAGAGCUCUCUCACCAAUGUAUAAGAAUUGUUUUCUCAUGAAUUCUAUGUCCUCUCUCCAUCUUAGGACGAAAUCUCUUUCUCUUCGUGA
rnacentral:misc_RNA from 1 species